rnacentral:lncRNA from 1 species
AACUCGAGACAUACUACAAAGUAAAACGUUGGAGACAGAUCCGCAAAAAAGAUUGAGAACCAGUUUGCAAAAAUUUAAUAAGUUAUGGACUCAAUGCAAUUUCCUUUAAUUUUUUCUUUACAAAACCCUUGUUCCUGUCGUCUUUGUUUACCUAUGAACUAAGCAAAAUUAUUCAUCAUCAUAAGUACUAUCCAUUCUUUCCCCACCUCUCACCACUUCUCUUUAUUCUCCUUCUGAUACACCAUUUUUAAGUUAUAUGUACGCAAAUACAUACACUCUGGCUUCCAAGAAAUUGUAUACCAUGCUGCUAGCUAGGGAUUCAGAUGUAUGCACCAUGGAUGGUAUCAAGAACGAUGAUUUCGACGCGGUUAAGGAAGGCAUAGUCGAGGAGAAGAUCGACAAAUAUUUAAAGCCAAGGGGUUGAAGGAAAGAAAUGAAACUUCUAGGCAAGUCUGAUACUUGGCUUUACUUCCACAGUCUGUUUGUCUCUCUUUUUCUUGGUUUGGUUUGGCCAAAUGGAAAGAAAAAAAUUGAGUUUUAAGGAUUCUUAAUAAUUAGAGAUUUUGUCUUAAUUAAGAUUAAUCCUAAGGUUUACAUUUUCUUACUGUCUUUUGAUCAGCAACUUAACCAAAUUUCUUUCGGCCAUUUGCUUUUCAUUUAUUUAUUUUUGUACUUUUCUCCUAUUUUUUUGGUGUGUUUAUGCAUUUCCACAAUGAAGAGGAAGGGAUAUCCUUGUAAAACUCGAAUAUUGAUUCAAAUAUUUCACCGCAAAAUCUUUAAUUAUUUGCUUCUCAAAUUGUUAAAUUAACCAAGAUUCUUUUUUUUUUUCCCUCAAUAUUUACUUCUUACAUUCUAGAAAAACACUUCACAUUUUUCUUAACCGGAAUAUGGAAACACGCCAACAACGACAGACUUUUCCUGCGCCGGUCGGUUUAACAGGAAUGAAAGUGUUGAUGUUACUAGAUAUUCAUAAAUGAGACUUGUAAUGUUUAAUGUUUAGCUGUAAAGUAAGCGAUUUUAUCAAAAGUUUAAGUG